GAUGAAGAACGUAGCGAAAUGUGAUAAGUAAUGUGAAUUGCAGAAUUCAGUGAAUCAUCGAAUCUUUGAACGCACAUUGCGCCCGCCAGUAUUCUGGCGGGCAUGCCUGUUCGAGCGUCAUUUCAACCAUCAAGCCCCCGGCUUGUGUUGGGGACCUGCGGCUGCCGCAGGCCCUGAAAACCAGUGGCGGGCUCGCUGUCACACCGAGCGUAGUAGAUUUUCAUCUCGCUCAGGGCGUGCUGCGGGUUCCGGCCGUAAAAAGCCUUAUUUACCCAAGGUUGACCUCGGAUCAGGUAGGAAGACCCGCUGAACUUAAGCAUAUCAAUAAGCGGAGGA
rnacentral:misc_RNA from 1 species